rnacentral:rRNA from 1 species
GACGAACGCUGGCGGCGUGCUUAACACAUGCAAGUCGAACGAAGAGCGAUGGAAGCUUGCUUCUAUCAAUCUUAGUGGCGAACGGGUGAGUAACGCGUAAUCAACCUGCCCUUCAGAGGGGGACAACAGUUGGAAACGACUGCUAAUACCGCAUACGAUCUAAUCUCGGCAUCGAGGAUAGAUGAAAGGUGGCCUCUACAUGUAAGCUAUCACUGAAGGAGGGGAUUGCGUCUGAUUAGCUAGUUGGAGGGGUAACGGCCCACCAAGGCGAUGAUCAGUAGCCGGUCUGAGAGGAUGAACGGCCACAUUGGGACUGAGACACGGCCCAGACUCCUACGGGAGGCAGCAGUGGGGAAUCUUCCGCAAUGGACGAAAGUCUGACGGAGCAACGCCGCGUGAGUGAUGACGGCCUUCGGGUUGUAAAGCUCUGUUAAUCGGGACGAAAGGCCUUCUUGCGAAUAGUGAGAAGAAUUGACGGUACCGGAAUAGAAAGCCACGGCUAACUACGUG